rnacentral:rRNA from 1 species
GACGGACGCUGGCGGCGUGCCUAAUACAUGCAAGUCGAGCGGACGAAUCGAAAGCUUGCUUUUGAUUCGUUAGCGGCGGACGGGUGAGUAACACGUGGGCAACCUGCCCUGUAGACGGGGAUAACACCGAGAAAUCGGUGCUAAUACCGGAUAACACGAAAUGUCGCAUGACGUUUCGUUGAAAGACGGCGCAAGCUGCCGCUACAGGAUGGGCCCGCGGCGCAUUAGCUAGUUGGUGAGGUAACGGCUCACCAAGGCGACGAUACGUAGCCGACCUGAGAGGGUGAUCGGCCACACUGGGACUGAGACACGGCCCAGACUCCUACGGGAGGCAGCAGUAGGGAAUCUUCCGCAAUGGACGAAAGUCUGACGGAGCAACGCCGCGUGAGCGAAGAAGGCCUUCGGGUCGUAAAGCUCUGUUGUUAGGGAAGAACAAGUAACGCAGUAACUGGCGUUACCGUGACGGUACCUAACGAGAAAGCCACGGCUAACUACGUG